rnacentral:tRNA from 1 species
UAGCUCAGUUGGGAGAGCAUCUGCCUUACAAGCAGGGGGUCACAGGUUCGAGCCCUGU